rnacentral:rRNA from 1 species
GAUGAACGCUAGCGGCAGGCUUAACACAUGCAAGGUCGAGGGGCAGUCACGAGGUAGCAAAUACUUUGGUGGCGACCGGCGCGACGGGUGCGUAACGCGUAUGCAACCUACCUUUAACAGGGGGCAUAACACUGAGAAAUUGGUACUAAUUCCCCAUAACAUUCGAGAAGGCAUCUUACUUGGGUUAAAAACUCCGGUGGUUAAAGAGUGGGCAUUGCGUUUGUA